AUUGAACGCUGGCGGCAUGCCUUACACAUGCAAGUCGAACGGCAGCACGGGGGCAACCCUGGUGGCGAGUGGCGAACGGGUGAGUAACACAUCGGAACGUGCCCAGUAGUGGGGGAUAGCUCGGCGAAAGCCGGAUUAAUACCGCAUACGACCUACGGGUGAAAGCGGGGGAUCGCAAGACCUCGCGCUAUCGGAGCGGCCGAUGUCAGAUUAGGUUGUUGGGGGGUAAAGGCCUACCAAGCCGACGAUCUGUAGCUGGUCUGAGAGGACGACCAGCCACACUGGGACUGAGACACGGCCCAGACUCCUACGGGAGGCAGCAGUGGGGAAUUUGGACAAUGGGCGCAAGCCUGAUCCAGCCAUGCCGCGUGCGGGAA
rnacentral:rRNA from 1 species